AACAAACGCUGGCGGCGUGCCUAAUACAUGCAAGUCGAACGGGGAAAGUAGCAAUAUGAGUACUAGUGGCGCACGGGUGAGGAACACAUGGGUAAUCUGCCUUCAAGUCGGGGAUAACCAGUCGAAAGACUGGCUAAUACCGGAUAAGACCACAGGAUCUGCGGAGCUAGGGGUUAAAGGUUUUUCGCUUGAAGAUGAGCCCAUGCGAGAUUAGCUAGUUGGUGAGGUAAUGGCUCACCAAGGCGACGAUCUCUAACUGGUCUUAGAGGAUGAUCAGUCACACUGGAACUGGGACACGGUCCAGAAUCCUACGGGAGGCAGCAGUAGGGAAUAUUGCGCAAUGGGGGAAACCCUGACGCAGCGACGCCGCGUGAGUGAUGAAGGCCUUCGGGUCGUAAAGCUCUGUCGUAUGGGACUAACACAAUGAAGGUACCAUGCAAGAAAGGAUCGGCUAACUUCGUGCCAGCCGCCGCGGUAA
rnacentral:rRNA from 1 species